UACGUAGGGUGCGAGCGUUAAUCGGAAUUACUGGGCGUAAAGCGUGCGCAGGCGGUUCGUUGUGUCGGCGGUGAAAUCCCCGGGCUCAACCUGGGAAUGGCCGUUGAAACUGGCGAACUGGAGUGUGGCAGAGGGGGGUGGAAUUCCGCGUGUAGCAGUGAAAUGCGUAGAGGUGCGGAGGAACACCGAUGGCGAAGGCAGCCCCCUGGGCUGACACUGACGCUCAGGCACGAAAGCGUGGGGAGCAAACAGG
rnacentral:rRNA from 1 species